rnacentral:lncRNA from 1 species
AUAAUAAUAAUAAUAAUAAUAAUAAUAAUAAUAAUAAUAAUAUGAUAUCUUGUUUGCUGUGUCAUACAAUGUCGUUGAGUUAUAAUGAUAAUGAUGAUGAUGAUGGUGCCCAGGAACCCAACUUUCCUAUAAAACCCUUUCAAAGACUGUAUAUUUCUAAAUAUAUAUAAUUACCUUUCCCUUUCCCAUCUGUUGCGGCUGCAGAGUCUUUUUUGGACUCUCAAGGUCCGGAUUGCAGGUGAAAUCGGCAAAUGAGGAGCGAACUAGUGGUAGAAAUAAAGAGAAAAAAUUAUCUCUCCCAGGCACAUCUUGCUGGGAAAACGAGAUAAUAAUUGGGAGGAGGGUGAUAAUAAGAGAGGAAACAUUGGAGGAGAGAAGGCAAAGCAAAAGGAUCCUGUCCUUAUGGAGUUUCUCACCAGUUUUUCAAUCCCCAACCCACCCUGGAAUUCCCAUUCCGGUCUCAUGAGCUGUGUAGACAUAACCAGAUUUAAAAAUUGUACUCUCAUUUGGAGAAGUGGAUUGCCAAAAAGACCGCAAACUCCAGCUUAAAGAGAAAGGUCCCGCACAAUCCCUUUGCUUUCUACUUUGCCUCCCUUCUUUCUCUUUAUCCGAGGAGAAAGAAAACGCGUGUCAGACGGAAUGAAGAGAAACAUCGGCUGGAAGGAGAGGCGAAAAAGCGAGGCUCCGGCAAAGUGGAGAAAAAUCCCUUUCCGAAAGGGUUUUGAGAAGAGCUUCUCAGUGAGAAUAUCUGUUUCCAGGUGGAAGGCGGUCCUGGUCAGGGUUGGCUUGACACACCUUCCUCUUGGCACAUUUCUCUCUUUCACCCUCCAUUUGCGCCUCUUUGAAUUCCACUGCACUGCUGGUCUAAGGUAUAUAAUUCCUUAUUAUAUGUGUGGGUGAUGCUGAGGAGUGGUGGUUUUAGAAGAUGCAAUUCCAGGGCAGUGUAUAUGAGUUUAAUGUGUUAAUAAGUUAAUGUGUUUAACAAAUUACUUGGAAGUUACUGUUUAUUCCAAUUAUACUAAAAAUAGUUAUUUUUUGCUUGUAAUGGCCAUGGCUGUGAUUCACUUCUUUUUAGAUGAAUAAGAAAGGAUUUUGUUACUGCUCCUGAGUAUUGAUUGUAUGCAGUGACUCAGUAUGAGGAUGAGGGAGGAAUGGUAACUUGGGCAGCUGUCUUAUACAGCAGCAGCUAGGAGGAAUUUCCUUGUAAUUUUUCCAAUUUUUCCAGAAUUUCCAAGGUGCAAUAUCUGAUAUAGCCACUUGGUGGAACCAGAACCAGAGAACAUUUCCCCAUAUUUUUUUAACUAUAACAAAAUAGGAACUUUUUAGUAAUGAUGAGUAACUCAACAAAUUAUUUUUCUAGUUAGUCAUAACAGUAUUAGCUAAUGACCUGUUGGGUGAUUAUUAGAGCUGGCAUCCUGCUGAUGUACCUUGGCAGAGCACAGUGCACAUCAAACCACUUUUUCUGGUUCACUUGUUUGCCAUUCAUUGGAAGGGUUCCGUAGUACCAUACUACAUAGUAGAGUAUGUGUAAAGUUACACAGCAUAGUCCAUGACAUAGCAUUGUAACCAACAAGAACAGUGCCUCGAUUUGCCAGCCAGUCACCUUGACAUGGGAAGGAGGGGAUUCAGUGGCAUUGCUGAGGGGUUCAAGGGGUGAGGACCAAAUUGAGCGACACUAUCAGAGGGGGAUGACACCAAAAUGACUGUCUAUACAAUGUUGUGUUGAUGCUGUGCCCAGUCAGGUGAUCCUUCCUUCUUGUUUCUCUCCAUCAAGUAGAUUUUGGUGGCCCUGAAAAUGAUGUACACUCCUCUGUCCCAUAUUGCUGAAUGGACUGUGCCUUAAACUCUUCAUAACUUGCUCAAGUCUCUUUCAGAACAUCAUCUUCCAUCCUUCACCCUACUUGUUCAAAGGGAGGAAAUUUGACACC